rnacentral:rRNA from 1 species
ACGAACGCUGGCGGCACGCUUAACACAUGCAAGUCGAACGAGAGAAGAGAAGCUUGCUUUUCUGAUCUAGUGGCGGACGGGUGAGUAACACGUGAGCAAUCUGCCUUUCAGAGGGGGAUACCGAUUGGAAACGAUCGUUAAUACCGCAUAAUAUAAUUGAACCGCAUGAUUUGAUUAUCAAAGAUUUAUCGCUGAAAGAUGAGCUCGCGUCUGAUUAGCUAGUUGGUAAGGUAACGGCUUACCAAGGCGACGAUCAGUAGCCGGACUGAGAGGUUGAUCGGCCACAUUGGGACUGAGACACGGCCCAGACUCCUACGGGAGGCAGCAGUGGGGAAUAUUGCACAAUGGAGGAAACUCUGAUGCAGCGAUGCCGCGUGAGGGAAGAAGGUUUUAGGAUUGUAAACCUCUGUCUUCAGGGACGAAAAAAGACGGUACCUGAGGAGGAAGCUCCGGCUAACUACGUGCCAGCAGCCGCGGUAAUACGUAGGGAGCGAGCGUUGUCCGGAAUUACUGGGUGUAAAGGGAGCGUAGGCGGGAUCGCAAGUCAGAUGUGAAAACGAUGGGCUUAAUCCAUAAACUGCAUUUGAAACUGUGGUUCUUGAGUGAAGUAGAGGUAAGCGGAAUUCCUAGUGUAGCGGUGAAAUGCGUAGAUAUUAGGAGGAACAUCAGUGGCGAAGGCGGCUUACUGGGCUUUAACUGACGCUGAGGCUCGAAAGCGUGGGGAGCAAACAGGAUUAGAUACCCUGGUAGUCCACGCCGUAAACGAUGAUUACUAGGUGUGGGGGGACUGACCCCUUCCGUGCCGCAGCAAACGCAAUAAGUAAUCCACCUGGGGAGUACGACCGCAAGGUUGAAACCCAAAGGAAUUGACGGGGGCCCGCACAAGCAGUGGAGUAUGUGGAUUAAUUCGAAGCAACGCGAAGAACCUUACCAGGUCUUGACAUCGUAUGCAUAGCUCAGAGAUGAGUGAAAUCUCUUCGGAGACAUAUAGACAGGUGGUGCAUGGUUGUCGUCAGCUCGUGUCGUGAGAUGUUGGGUUAAGUCCCGCAACGAGCGCAACCCUUACUGUUAGUUGCUACGCAAGAGCACUCUAGCAGGACUGCCGUUGACAAAACGGAGGAAGGUGGGGAUGACGUCAAAUCAUCAUGCCCCUUAUGACCUGGGCCUCACACGUACUACAAUGGCUGUUAACAGAGGGAUGCAAAGCCGCGAGGUGGAGCGAACCCCUAAAAGCAGUCUUAGUUCGGAUUGUAGGCUGCAACCCGCCUACAUGAAGUCGGAAUUGCUAGUAAUCGCAGAUCAGCAUGCUGCGGUGAAUACGUUCCCGGGCCUUGUACACACCGCCCGUCACGCCAUGGGAGUCGGUAACACCCGAAGCCUGUAGUCUAACCGCAAGGAGGACGCAGUCGAAGGUGGGAUUGAUGACUGGGGUG